AGAGAAAAUAACAAAUUCUCGUAAAGGAGAAAAUAUCAAAUCCUCACAAAAAAAGAGAUUACAAAUCUUCUUGAAGAAGAAGACGAAAACUCAGAUGAUCUGAGAACAUUUCAAAAGGAUACAUAUAUGGAGAUUAUUGAGAAAAACACAUAACAAAUAUAAAAAACACAAAAAGGUAAAGGAUGAGAGGCAAUCACCAAUGAAAAUAUUCACUUUUAGCCACUCCAAAGAAUUCACAAUGGAAAGAAGAAAUAGAAGAAAGCGAAUUUAAAAUGAUGGCUAAGGUUAAGAGAGCAAAAAG
rnacentral:misc_RNA from 1 species